CAGAAGUCCAGGUAUAUGACAUCAGUUGCCUUCUCUUUGUCCACUGAUGCUGUCACUCCAUCAUAGAAGGCCACCAGAUUGAUCAGGCACGACCUUCCCUUGGUGAAGCCAUGCUGGAUGUCUCAGAUCACUUGCUUAUCCCUCAUGUCCCAUUAACAUAUCUUCCAGAGGAUCUGUUCCAUGAUCUUUUGAGGCACAGAGAGCACCAAGGAGAUGUAUAGAUGAAAACUUGCAAGACAGGAUCCAGUGUACUUCAGGAACAUCAUUCUACUCCACUAUCUUGGUUGUGAACAGGGUUACUGCGAGAUCUUCAGGGCUUUGGCUUCCUCAGCAAUCUCCUUUGACCUCCUGGAGUAGGACAAAAGAAAGACGACAUAGGAAGAUGAAGCAAAGACUUGUUGAAGGGGCAACCCUGUUCCCAGCCUUCAUAAGAGUCUGCAAUUAUAACAUUCAUAAAAACAGCCAGUCAUAAACAUGUCACAUAAAGUAUUUCACAGUGUUUAUGUGAAAGGAAAUUGAAGUCUCUUGAAAAUGGAACUGAAUCUUGUUCAAACAACCUUAGAUACACUAACCCAACUUUAUUGUUGUUAUAUAUUACAGGAUUCUUUAUCCAUGUAUACUAUCAUUAACCAUACAGUAUGUUUUCAUAAAUAUUUCCCUUCCUGAAAAUUCAUAAAGUUCUUUGACCACUGUCUCUGUUGGUGGUGCUUGUUAGCUAAGUCUAAAAUGAAAAAAGAGAUUCUCUAUUCAUUUGGAAAAAC
ensembl:lncRNA